UACGUAGGGUGCAAGCGUUGUCCGGAAUUAUUGGGCGUAAAGAGCGUGUAGGCGGCCCGAUUAGUCCGCUGUGAAAGUCCAGGGCUCAACCCUGGAAUGCCGGUGGAUACUGUCGGGCUAGAGUCCGGAAGGGGCGAGUGGAAUUCCUGGUGUAGCGGUGAAAUGCGCAGAUAUCAGGAGGAACACCAAUGGCGAAGGCAGCUCGCUGGGACGGGACUGACGCUGAGACGCGAAAGCGUGGGGAGCAAACAGG
rnacentral:rRNA from 1 species